rnacentral:rRNA from 1 species
UACGUAGGGGGCAAGCGUUGUCCGGAAUUAUUGGGCGUAAAGAGCGUGUAGGCGGCCAGAUAAGUCCGCUGUGAAAUCUCGAGGCUCAACUUCGAGCUGUCGGUGGAAACUGUCUGGCUAGAGUCCGGAAGAGGAGAAUGGAAUUCCUGGUGUAGCGGUGAAAUGCGCAGAUAUCAGGAAGAACACCCGUGGCGAAGGCGGUUCUCUGGGACGGUACUGACGCUGAGACGCGAAAGCGUGGGGAGCGAACAGG